CUGGUUAAAGGGCACUGGACAAUUACAGGGGCCACUUCAUAGACUCUCAGUGCUUCUGGCUUUAAUAUUCUCUGCUAGAUUCACAGAACUCUUUUACAGAUGCUCAGCAUUCAAUCCUGAAGGCUCCACUUCAUCAUCAGAAUUGGGUGGACAGAAUCUCAUAUUCUGCUUUCAUACUCUGCCCUCAGUCAGAAUAUGAGCCAUUGGAGUAGGAAGAAGGCAUGGAUUACUGAAUGCUUCCAUCACCAUCAAUUGAAUAGUGCUCAUCAAGCUGCCCUUUGACAACCUACAUCUCACAUGGACAAAAAAGUGUCAUUUUCAUGUCUUCCCUAGCUUCACCCAACUCUGUUUGUAAACAACCUGUGGAAAUGAAGAGCAGAAA